rnacentral:rRNA from 1 species
GACGAACCGUGCGAGCGUUGUUCGGAAUCACUGGGCUUAAAGGGCGCGUAGGCGGUCUAUCAAGUCCGGGGUGAAAUCCUCCAGCUCAACUGGAGAACUGCCUCGGAUACUGAUGGUCUCGAGGAGGAUAGGGGCACACGGAACUGUGGGUGGAGCGGUGAAAUGCGUUGAUAUCCAUAGGAACUCCGGUGGCGAAAGCGGUGUGCUGGCCCUCUUCUGACGCUGAGGCGCGAAAGCCAGGGGAGCGAACGGG